GCGCGCUGGCGUUUUUUUUUUUGUCUUUCGUAUGCAACGGCGGCAAUACGUAAUUAGCAUAGCGCAACGUAACCCAGCUCGAGCCUUCGCCUGUUCCAGCAGGAUAGGGGAGCCAGUGUUACGUUACGCCAUGGGGACUUUAUUGUACAGAUACUAUUCUAGCAUUUUAAAUACAAAUUAUUAGGGCUGUAGUUUACCAUAAAUAUUCUGUAAAUAGCUGUCUACGAGCUGCUGUUAGCAGCCGUAGGCAGCAAAUACAAUGCUUUUGGACAGCACGAAUUCUCCACUGCCGGCAGUGCUGCCGGCGCAAUCGUCAAUCUGGGGAAAUCUCUCCACUUUGGAGAAUAGGCGUAUUCCAACAGCUUUAUUUAGCUGUCACCAAGUUGAAAAGAGUAAACGUGUACAUUUCCAAGUGCUGGAAACAAAAGUUUCACACCAUAUUUUGGGUGGCAUCAUUUUUACGCGCUAAAAAGUGAAUUUUGAGUUUUGUGGCAGGCACGCAAAUCGAAUCAAAACAUUCAGGUCUAUGUGCGCGUUAGGCCGCUGAAUGCACGCGAGCGAUGCAUACGCUCCGCAGAGGUUGUGGAUGUGCUCAAUCCACGCGAGAUCCUCACACGCCACACCCUCGACUCGAAGUUGACGAAGAAGUUUACGUUUGAUCGGAGCUUCGGCCCCGAGUCCAAGCAAUGCGAUGUCUAUGCGGUGGUGGUGUCGCCCCUGAUCGAAGAGGUGCUAAGCGGCUAGAAUUGCACGGUGUUCGCGUACGGACAGACGGGUACUGGCAAGACGCACACGAUGGUGGGGAAUGAGAACGCGGAGUUGAAGUCCUCUUGGGAAGAUGUUUUUGGGGUUGUGUGUCGACGGCGCGAGCACAAUAAGACUGAUUGGCCACAGUGACCCUCAGCUAAUUUUAUUUGUUUUCGCAGUUUUUACAUUUUAACGCAUUUACAAAUAUUUCUAAAAACUGUUAUUUUAACAGCUGAACCACUACUCUUAACAUGGUUGGGAUACUUUCUCGUUAGGUUU